rnacentral:rRNA from 1 species
GACAGAGGUGCCGAGCGUUAGGCGGAAUCACUGGGCUUAAAGCGUGUGUAGGCGGGUUGUUAAGUGUCUUGUGAAAUCCCACCGCUCAACGGUGGAACUGCUGGGCAUACUGGCGAUCUUGAGCCACCUAGGGGCAGACGGAACAAGCGGUGGAGCGGUGAAAUGCGUAGAUAUCGCUUGGAACGCCGAAGGUGAAAACAGGUUGCUGGGGUUGUGCCGACGCUGAGACACGAAAGCCAGGGGAGCAAACGGG